rnacentral:lncRNA from 1 species
UCAUUCUUGCUUUUGUUUAUUUUCUGGAAGCACCGUACUCAGCUUUCUUUGCCUUAUCUGAAGAGACAGAGCCAGCCAUGAGGUCUAGUCAAUUGCAUUUCUACAAUUUUAUUAGAAUGGCUGGGUAGAUUAGCUUUAUUAAACAUGAAAUGAAUGUCUUGGGUAUUCAUCAGAGUCUCCCACAGAUCCUGGGGUAAUUUAGUUUCUUGGGUUUUUUUUUAUUUUUUUUAUUUUUUAUUUAUUUAUUUUUAGAAGUGUCUGUGGAAAGAGACUAGAACAAGGAGCCAAAGAAACCAGAAGACUUGGGUUGCUGGAUUACAAUUUUGUAACUUUUGUAAGUCACCUUGAGCAUAGCCAGAAGCCUUAUGAUAUUGGUUAGCCAUAAGAGCAAAGUGCCAUGGAGCUCAGUGGGGUGGCAAGGGAGUGGCAGGAGAAGAUACUGUAGAGUUACAUUUGAGUGAGAUUUAAAUUAUUAACUUGAUUUCUUCGGGCAGCCAGGGAGAGGAGCAUUCUUCACAGAGGAAGCUGAUUAAACAAAUCAAUGCAAAAUGAAAGUCAAUGAUUGGUCUCAGAAGUGGGGCAUCUUUGGCUGUGGUGGGAAAGAAAGAUAUACCAGCGGAGUUUGGAGAGGUAGGAUUUUGGGAGCAGCUCAUGAAAAGCUUAUAAAACGAAGCUUAUGUGGUUACACUGGAUACUGGACAAUUCCCAAAUGCUGCUGAGCAUAGGGAAGUGGAGAAGGAACACGAUUAGAGUAUUUUCAUUAUGCAGCCAAUAUCCAAUAAAACACUUUCAAGGCAACUCAGCGAAUACCUUACCAGAAAACCAAAGGGAUCAUUAGCUCUUCACAUUAGCCCUGCAUG